AGAGUUUGAUCCUGGCUCAGGAUGAACGCUGGCGGCGUGCCUAAUACAUGCAAGUAGAACGCUGAAGCUUGGUGCUUGCACCGAGCGGAUGAGUUGCGAACGGGUGAGUAACGCGUAGGUAACCUGCCUCUUAGCGGGGGAUAACUAUUGGAAACGAUAGCUAAUACCGCAUAAAAGUCGAUAUCGCAUGAUAUUGAUUUGAAAGGUGCAAUUGCAUCACUAAGAGAUGGACCUGCGUUGUAUUAGCUAGUUGGUGAGGUAACGGCUCACCAAGGCGACGAUACAUAGCCGACCUGAGAGGGUGAUCGGCCACACUGGGACUGAGACACGGCCCAGACUCCUACGGGAGGCAGCAGUAGGGAAUCUUCGGCAAUGGGGGCAACCCUGACCGAGCAACGCCGCGUGAGUGAAGAAGGUUUUCGGAUCGUAAAGCUCUGUUGUAAGAGAAGAACGAGUGUGAGAGUGGAAAGUUCACACUGUGACGGUAACUUACCAGAAAGGGACGGCUAACUACGUGCCAGCAGCCGCGGUAAUACGUAGGUCCCGAGCGUUAUCCGGAUUUAUUGGGCGUAAAGCGAGCGCAGGCGGUUAGAUAAGUCUGAAGUUAAAGGCUGUGGCUUAACCAUAGUACGCUUUGGAAACUGUUUAACUUGAGUGCAGAAGGGGAGAGUGGAAUUCCAUGUGUAGCGGUGAAAUGCGUAGAUAUAUGGAGGAACACUGGUGGCGAAGGCGGCCUACUGGGCACCAACUGACGCUGAGGCUCGAAAGUGUGGGUAGCAAACAGGAUUAGAUACCCUGGUAGUCCACACUGUAAACGAUGAUUACUAGGUGUUGGAGGAUUGACCCCUUCAGUGCCGCAGUUAACACAAUAAGUAAUCCACCUGGGGAGUACGACCGCAAGGUUGAAACUCAAAGGAAUUGACGGGGGCCCGCACAAGCAGUGGAGUAUGUGGUUUAAUUCGACGCAACGCGAAGAACCUUACCAAGUCUUGACAUCCUGCGACGCACAUAGAAAUAUGUGUUUCCUUCGGGACGCAGAGACAGGUGGUGCAUGGUUGUCGUCAGCUCGUGUCGUGAGAUGUUGGGUUAAGUCCCGCAACGAGCGCAACCCUUAUGGUCAGUUACUACGCAAGAGGACUCUGGCCAGACUGCCGUUGACAAAACGGAGGAAGGUGGGGAUGACGUCAAAUCAUCAUGCCCUUUAUGACUUGGGCUACACACGUACUACAAUGGCGUUAAACAAAGAGAAGCAAGACCGCGAGGUGGAGCAAAACUCAGAAACAACGUCCCAGUUCGGACUGCAGGCUGCAACUCGCCUGCACGAAGUCGGAAUUGCUAGUAAUCGCAGAUCAGCAUGCUGCGGUGAAUACGUUCCCGGGCCUUGUACACACCGCCCGUCACACCAUGAGAGCCGGGGGGACCCGAAGUCGGUAGUCUAACCGCAAGGAGGACGCCGCCGAAGGUAAAACUGGUGAUUGGGGUGAAGUCGUAACAAGGUA
rnacentral:rRNA from 1 species